rnacentral:rRNA from 1 species
UGAUGUUAGCGGCGGACGGGGUGAGUAACACGUGGGUAACCUGCCUGUAAGACUAAGAUAACUCCGGGAAACCGGGGCUAAUACCGGAUGGUUGUUUGAACCGCAUGGUUCAGACAUAAAAGGUGGCUUCGGCUACCACUUACAGAUGGACCCGCGGCGCAUUAGCUAGUUGGUGAGGUAACGGCUCACCAAGGCGACGAUGCGUAGCCGACCUGAGAGGGUGAUCGGCCACACUGGGACUGAGACACGGCCCAGACUCCUACGGGAGGCAGCAGUAGGGAAUCUUCCGCAAUGGACGAAAGUCUGACGGAGCAACGCCGCGUGAGUGAUGAAGGUUUUCGGAUCGUAAAGCUCUGUUGUUAGGGAAGAACAAGUGCCGUUCAAAUAGGGCGGCACCUUGACGGUACCUAACCAGAAAGCCACGGCUAACUACGUGCCAGCAGCCGCGGUAAUACGUAGGUGGCAAGCGUUGUCCGGAAUUAUUGGGCGUAAAGGGCUCGCAGGCGGUUUCUUAAGUCUGAUGUGAAAGCCCCCGGCUCAACCGGGGAGGGUCAUUGGAAACUGGGGAACUUGAGUGCAGAAGAGGAGAGUGGAAUUCCACGUGUAGCGGUGAAAUGCGUAGAGAUGUGGAGGAACACCAGUGGCGAAGGCGACUCUCUGGUCUGUAACUGACGCUGAGGAGCGAAAGCGUGGGGAGCGAACAGGAUUAGAUACCCUGGUAGUCCACGCCGUAAACGAUGAGUGCUAAGUGUUAGGGGGUUUCCGCCCCUUAGUGCUGCAGCUAACGCAUUAAGCACUCCGCCUGGGGAGUACGGUCGCAAGACUGAAACUCAAAGGAAUUGACGGGGGCCCGCCCAAGCGGUGGAGCAUGGGGUUUAAUUCGAAGCAACGCCGAAAAAACCUUACCAGGUCUUGGAAUUCCUCUGACAAUCCUAAAAAAAGGGACGUCCCCUUCGGGGGCAAAAUGAACAGGUGGGGGCAUGGGUUGUCCUCCCCCUCCGGUCCCGGAAAAGUUGGGGUUAAAUUCCCCCC